UAAUUGUAUUGAGAGGACCUUUCCCUAGUACGAGAGGACCGGGAAGGACGCACCUCUGGUGUACCAGUUAUCAUGCCCACGGUAAACGCUGGGUAGCCAAGUGCGGAGCGGAUAACUGCUGAUAGCAUCUAAGUCUUAAGCCCACCCCAAGAUGAGUGCUCUCCUAUUCCGACUUUCCCGGAGCCUCCAGUAGCACAGCCAAGACAGCGACGGGUUCUCUACCCCUGCGGGGAUGGAGCGACAAAAGUUUUGAGAAUUUAAGGGAAGGUCACAACGAGACAAGCCGUUUAUCAUUACGAUAGGUGUCAAGUGGAAGUGCGGUGAUGUAUGCAGCUGUGGCAUCCUAACAGACCGG
rnacentral:ncRNA from 1 species